rnacentral:rRNA from 1 species
UACGUAGGGGGCAAGCGUUGUCCGGAUUUAUUGGGCGUAAAGAGCGUGUAGGCGGCCAUACAGGUCCGUUGUGAAAACUCGAGGCUUAACCUCGAGACGUCGAUGGAAACCGUAUGGCUAGAGUCCGGAAGAGGAGAGUGGAAUUCCGUGGUGUAGCGGUGAAAUGCGCAGAUAUCAGGAAGAACACCCGUGGCGAAGGCGGCUCUCUGGGACGGUACUGACGCUCAUGCACGAAAGCGUGGGAGCAACAGG